CCGGCGGGGCCCCCCGGCAUAUCCGAGGCGCCUCCGCUUCAUCCCCAUGGGGUCUGAGCCCUCAGAAGUUCUUCGUCUCUCGAUGACCAAAGAGAGAGAUUUCAGGCUGUUCCCUGUUUAUAAUCGCCGUGGUACUCUCAGGAUCGCACCCGUUACCGGUGUGAACAAUAGCUUAGUGCGGGUUACACCAAAACACCCGGGAGCUGCACCUUCACCCGGCGUGUCCGGCCCGGGGAUCGUAAGCAAAAGACGUGGGACAGAUGGUAAAAGCAUCUUAAAAGCAAACGUGCCCCAGCCAGGAAAUGAUGCGGUAAGGAAAGGAAAUUAGCGUCUGGAAAACAUAAACAAACAGCCGCAUCUAAAAAUAGACCUAAUCAGCUUUGAGAUCGUGUUAAAAUGUAGUGAUAAUUGUGCGGUGGCACUGAGAGGCGAAGUGAAGGCUGCCGUGGUGCUUUCGCUUACCUGGAAGUCUGGUGUGUCAGCAGGGAGUUUUACAGAGUUUUUAAUGCGUGUGUUGGGCACAGUUGCAGUAUCAGUGACUAUAAUGCUUAUUACUGUUGUGUAUUAUCAACACUAAGCCUAAACAGUGUUUGUUUGGGAUUUAUUGCUCUGCUGUAAGAGCAGAUAAUAUUGACAGAGAUCAGAGAGCCGUUCAACACUGUGCACUUCAUAUGUCACCCUUCUGCUUGGUUGCCCUCUCUCCUUUCUCAUCUUUCCCCUUCCCAGCCCACUUUGCCUUCCCCCAAGAGGAUGGACAUCUGCCCAUACUUGUAAUGGUUCCUUUUUUCCUUUUCAUUCCAAUUAUGGGGACAGGGGGAGAAUUACAAGGAGUAAUUAAUCAAAAUCUUGUUAAACAAGCCUUAUCCAUCACAGCAUUCAAUGAAUUAUUGUAAAACAUUACAGAAUUAUUCUCUUUUCGUGAUUGUUAUAGACUGUCCCUUGACGGCUCAAUAAAGCAUCCAUCCAACCCAAUUUAAAUGCAGUUUAAUGUUUUGUGUAACACCCAGGGCUGUGGUCUUGCAGGCAGUUAAGCACAUACUUAAUUUCCAGCCUGUUAGCAGUAAAAGUAUUUCCCAGAUUGUUAGUAAUUAAAUCGAUGCCUGGGUGUUAACGCUUAAGGUCGUGGCCUAAAUUUGUGAUAUAAUUAUGGAGAUAAAUGUGGAUUUUGGUAGGUUCCCAGUGUAUGUCAGCACCAAUGGGAAGACAAGACCCUGAACAAAGAAUACUGGUGAAUGCCCAAGGGGUGUUCUUAAUUGCCACAUACAUGUCAAAAGAUGGGAGAUGGCUUUGAAUGCCUGUUACUCCAGCAACCUGAACAAAGCUGUUUCAUGUCUUGGAAAAAAACACAGUUCCAUCCAUGUCCUGAAAUAUUCCCUUCACCACAAAACCCUCGGCGCUGGUUCCUGUGCCCGGCGCUGGGCCGGGUAACACGUGGCACUGUGUUGGCAGCUCUGCAGUGUGACUGUUAAGCAGGCAUUAAGUUUUCAUUACCUUGGCUGGGUUCCACCGUGCACAGUUUUAGUCUCCCCGCGUCAAGUUUGGGUUUGAUCUUUGCGUUGUGAUCGACAGCGUUUGCCUCGCACCUCGUGCCGUGUCCUGCGCUCCAGAAAUGUUCAUGCACACAAACACCACCCCUGGGGACACAGCAAACAGCCCCUGGGCAGCUCUUGGGGCAGUGUCUCACUGCAGAUUGGUGGCUGAGGUGGCAUCAGUGACAGGAUUUGGGCUCUGCUGGAAGGAAAAUGCAACAGCUGCAUUGCUGUUCCUGUGCUACACCUUUGUGUGAAUGACUCUGGAAAGGAUUUGCAGAAAGGACAAUGCAAUGGCUUUCUAGUAAUCCAGAUUUUCAUCCAGCUUGCCUGUUUGUCCUUAUUUUCUCAUAAAUUCCGGUAAAGUUGAAUGGGAUGAUAGCAAAGGAGAAAGGCUAAAUAACUUCCUUGAAAGCUAAAUGGCAUCAGGUGAUAGAGGAGGAAAAAACAAAGAUCAAGGGGGCAAAAAAAAGUAGAAAAAUAGGAAUUAAAAGUAGCAGCCUGACUUGUCAUUAAAACCAGAAUCAGUUUUUUGGAAAUUUUGAGUUACAUUUUUGGAGGUGGGAAGGGAAAAAGUCGAAACAGCUGGCCUGGGGCUAGAAGGGGACUGAAGCUGGUGUGUUUUGGCUUCAGAGUACCUUACAUUACUCCUUGGAUGUGUUUGAGAACUCUGGACGUUUACAGCUUUUGCUCAAAAAAAUUAGCAAUGGUUGAAAAGAAAGAAUGAAGAAAACCAGUACUUCUGUUUUUAUAGGAUAUGAACCAGACUGAAAAACAUCUGCUAAUCUUUUUCUGUAAAGAAAAGUUAAUGUUUUGUGGCCAGCACACGGCCCUGGUAAUCCAGAAGAACUGGUUUCUCCGCAUGGCUCUGCCACAGUUUCUUUUAAGAGACCUGGGGCAAUCCUUGUACUGGUCAUCAGUGCAGGAGUCCAGCAGUUUUAGGUUUAUUAGUCACUGAAGAAAACACAGAUGGAGUCCUUAGAGCAAGUCCUAAGAUCCUGAUGUGUUUGUUUCCCCCCUACCCACUCCCACCCAGCGAUCCAGUCAUGCCAGUUCUGUGCUGCUUCUCUGUCCUGCUGCACCUUGGUUUAUUUUAGACAAAGUAUAAAUGUCUCAGCAGAAUGGAUGAGCAGCACCCACUCCCCUGCCCAGAACAUCCAGUCUAAGGUCCUGACAGUCAACAGGGAAGGGGAAAAGAUAAUCCUGCAGUUCAGCCCAAGCUGUGAUGUGCUCAGCCCAUCUCCAGAGAAGAGAACCCUGUUGCAGCUGCAGUGUCCCUGCAGUAUGAGGAGAGAGAGGUGUGUGGAAUGGAACCUGGGUUGGCACACUGUCGUUUUUGAUGUUGCCUUUCAUCUUGAAAAACAGGCUGCACAUGAUAAAUGUGCUUCAGAUUUCUUCUUUUCCUUAUCUGAAAACUGUAUAAACUGUUAGGCUUGAGCACUCUGCUGUGAGGGAUCGUGUUCUGAAAAUCUAAGAGCAAAGAAAUAAGCUACAUAUUCAUUUUAUUGAAAUAAAAGAAUUUUGAUGACCCCUUUAAAACAGAGGAGCAUAAAUCCUUGUAGUGCAUUUGUCUGCACAUGAAAUAACUUGUCUUGUUAGUGACACUCAUUAUUUACUCUCUUCUGAUUUUCCAGAAACCUUGUUUACAUUACAGACCUGUGGAAGGAAAUUAUCUUGUCUUUGGUCAUAGCUGUCUUCUCACAACUGUGAUGCAAAGGGGGAAUAAAAUGAGUGAAAUUUCCAAACCAGAAAUGUCCUCUGGCCUUUUGUAUUCCAUUGAGUGUUCCAGGAGUAAGAAAGCCUGAACAACUCCUACUUAGGUAGAGUUGAAGGGGAGAAGGAGGCUCGUGGGCACACCAGUUUCAGUAGCUCAGUUCAGAUGUUAUUUGUGAUGUGUACAGGCUGCAGUCCCAGCUGGGGGUUGAAUUAACUGGGAACUACAUCAGUGUAUUGAAGGCAGUUCAGAAUGCACUGUGCUGUACUUUGAUGUGGGAGAUAGUGGUAAAUAAUUCGAUUAGGGUUUUCCCUUUGGUGGGUCUGGAACGUCCCUGGGCUUGAAAAUCUCAACAUUUUAUGAAUUCAUAUAGAGCAGAAUUGUGAUUGAGAAUUAUUCUUUAAAAUGUCAGUGCAUUUCUAGUAAGUCACUAGGCUGAGCACUCACUGCUUUUCCUCUCUGUAGGUGGAGUUCUUCUGUCUAGACAAAUAAGAAGUUUCAGUUGAUUUUAUUUUUAAUGGCAUUCUCCCAGAGUUUGUAAGGUAUCAGUAAAUCUUUAAAUUUCACAUGCUGUCUAGUGACAACAUGCAUUUUUCAAUAUGUAAAACUAAAGUAGAUCCAAUAGUUUAAACAAAAUCUAGAGUAGAAGUAUUCGAAAGUUUGACAUUAUUUUUUAUUACUUUAAAACAGUUUAAUCAUAGAAUUUUAAUUAAGACAUCUUCAACAUUCUAGAAAUAGAUUGAGAUGUUUCCUGAAUCUUUGUCUUUCCUAUGGAAGCAAACUUUAAAUAGCAGGAAGUUUUCAUAUUCCUUUUUAAGACUGUGUUACCUGGUUUAAAGCUUUAUAAUUUUUUCAGAACUACCCCUUGAUUAAUUUGUUUAAUCUUUUCCUAAAUGCCUAAAGAGGCUUAAAGUGCCUGGAUCUGGGCGGUUUUUACAACUGAACACAAAGUUUGAUUGAACUGCAACUUUGAAAAGUUGUGGCCAGGAUUCUGAACUUCGGUUGAUUUCACUUUAUGAGGAAAUAAUAUUAUUUUCUGUCAAUCAUAUGUUUUAAUAUUUUAGCAGAAACCUGGCUCUGCAAACAAAGAGAUGAAAAUAGGAUGAAAAAUGGGGAUUAAAUUGCAGGAAAUACUUUUCUCAGUUAAACUGUGGCAGUCUCUCUCACUGGGAAGCUUUUCUUGUUACGAAACCAUCCCAGAGAAAGGACAAAGCAAUAGAUAGAAAGGAGCAAGAAAAUCUCCUGGUGCCAGCCCCGGCCUGUGUAGUGCAUCACAUGACCCAGCAGAAUCAUAAAUAUUUUAGGAAGAAGGAGAAAAACCACCUUAUCAGGGGAAUUAACACUGAGGUGAAUAUCUGCAGCUUCUCUUACUGUUUUACUCUCUGUGCCAUGAAGAACAGUUGCCCUGUGAAUUGUUUCAAAUUUAAUUGAUACCAAACUUGGUGCCAUCAUCAGUGAUUUACAGUUACUGGGACAACUGUCCCAUGUAAGAGGACAUGAAACCACACAAUAUAAAUUAUGUGCAAACAUGCAUGGUCAGGGAAUGGUUUUCUGUGAGUUAUCUGAUGUCUGAUACACAUUUUAAAAAUGUAAAAAUAAAGGAUUGAACACGGAGAAGGAGAUAAUAUAAUCCCUUUGAGGACUGUUAGGAUCGUCUGGCUUAAUUUGGGCACAUGUCUGUUAAACUAACUGGGGAAUGUGAGAGCAUGUUUCUGCUUACAUAUAGAGGAUUUAGACUUUUAAAAAUCUCACAGCUGACAAACCACAUUGUCUUUUGGUCAUUUGGAUACCUUAUGUCUGGAUUAUUCUCUCUAAAAAUUGUCCUCAGACAGGAAAAGCAACAAUCUCCUCUAGGAGGAUAUUCAUUAACCAGUUGAUUUUGAAAGUUAGCUGUGCAAACUGUUGAAAAUUAACAACUCUUACCAUCUGAAGCUUUUAUUCUGGUGUAACAACAUCUAUUUGACCUUGCAUUUCCACUUCACAUGCUGGUUGUGAUAUUAUGAUUAUACAUCUUAAAAGCGGUAAUGGAGGUUGUGUAUGUUUAUUGGCCUUUAGGAACAUUAUGUCUUUAAAUAAACUGAUUUUUUUUUUUUAAUUCCUGUAAAUCGCCAAUCUGGUUUGUGUCUUAUAUAAUCUAUUUCCUUGGGCAGCAGGAGAAGAACAGGUACAGAAGAGGUGCUGCAGUCUGAUCCACAACUAGCAGGAGGGGCUGGAGAAUUAAACCGUACAGAUUAAAAGAACUCUUAUAGGAAGGAAUUUUGAGGAAGUUUGCCUGAAUCACUUUAAUAUCGCAAUUUAUUUUUUUUCAGAUGUGUUUUUGUGAAGCAGGAACAUUAGAAAGUUUUUCCAGCAAAUAUUAGAUCUUAAUUUUACAUAAUUGAACGUGCCCAUCUCCAUCCUUCUGCCCUACACAUCUCUUAAGUUCUGCUACCUCUGCAAGGUGGUAAAAGCACAGAAUUCAUGAAUGUGUGCAGACUGAGGGCUCCUUUUUCAUAUGGCAUCUGUUCAGAUGUUCCUGUGCUUCAUCCUGCUGUGCCUCCUACUCUGUAGGUUGGAAGAAUCUCCUCAAGCGUGCUCUGAAGUUUAAGUCAUUUUGUAGUCGUGCAGUCACACAUAAAUUUUCUAUCAGAUCUUUCAGCUUCUUUUCAACGUGGUUUCCUCCUUUCUCAUGUGAAAUUCAGGCUGCUCUGUGUUCUGUCAGUCUGCCUACAUUGCUGUCAUUUCAUACAUGCUCAUUCCUCCCUGUUUCCUUUGUUCCCAGCUUCACAACUGUUUCCAUCCCAUUCGUGUGCCUUAAGCAGCUUCCCCUGUGCCCGCUGCUUUCCUCUUAGGUCCUCCUUUAGUUUGCUCUUCUUACAGAGCUGUUAAAGGAGUUCUUACUUUUACCUUCAGAUCCUCUAACUUAAAAAUUCCUGCUUUAUGUUGACAGAAAGUUCUCGGGAAAAAAUGCCUUGACCUAUUUUCACAUCCUUUAUAUUUUAUUUAUUAUUUAUAUAUCGCCAUGAAAUAAUGAGGACUUUGCAACAUCAGAUUUUUGAGCCCAAAUGAAUGAUAAUCCCAUGUGUUUAAAACUGUACUAAUUUCUGACU